rnacentral:rRNA from 1 species
AGUACACACCGCCCGUAUUCCGGUUGAUCCCGCCGGAUCCGACUGCUAUCGGGGUAGGGCUAAGCCAUGCGAGUCGCGCGCCCGGGGGCGCCCGGGAGCGGCGCACGGCUCAGUAACACGUGCCCAACCUACCCUCGGGAGGGGGACACCCCCGGGAAACUGGGGCCAAUCCCCCAUAGGGGAAGGGCGCUGGAAGGCCCCCUCCCCGAAAGGACGGCGGCCGAUCCGCCGCCGCCCGCCCGAGGAUGGGGGCACGGCCCAUCAGGUAGUUGGCGGGUUAAAGGCCCGCCAAGCCGAAGACGGGUAGGGGCGGUGAGAGCCGCGAGCCCCGAGAUCGGCACUGAGACAAGGGCCGAGGCCCUACGGGGUGCAGCAGGCGCGAAUACUCCGCAAUGCGGGCAACCGCGACGGGGCUACCCCGAGUGCCGGGCGAAGAGCCCGGCUUUUGCCCGGUCUAAAACGCCGGGAGAAUAAGCGGGGGGCAAGUCUGGUGUCAGCCGCCGCGGUAAUACCAGCUCCGCGAGUGGUCGGGGUGUUUACUGGGCUUAAAGCGCCCGUAGCCGGCCCGGCAAGUCGCUCCUGAAAUCCCAGGGCUCAACCCUGGGGCAGGGGGCGAUACUGCCGGGCUAGGGGGCGGAAGAGGCCGCCGGUACUCCGGGGGUAGGGGCGAAAUCCGUUAAUCCCCGGAGGACCACCAGUGGCGAAAGCGGGCGGCCACAACGCGCCCGACGGUGAGGGGCGAAAGCCGGGGGAACAAAGGGGAUUAAAUACCCCUGUAGUCCCGGCCGUAAACGAUGCGGGCUACUGUCGGCUGGGCUUA